rnacentral:rRNA from 1 species
UACGGGGGGGGGCAAGCGUUUGUUCGGAAUUACUGGGCGUAAAGGGCUCGUAGGCGGCCAACUAAGUCGGAUGUGAAAUCCCCAGGCUUAACCUGGGAACUGCAUCCGAUACUGGAUGGCUUGAGUUUGGGAGAGGGAUGCGGAAUUCCCGGUGUACCGGUGAAAUGGACAGAUAUCGGGAGGAACACCAGUGGCGAAGGCGGCCAACUGGGCCCAUU